rnacentral:lncRNA from 1 species
AUGUAUGUUGUUAAUGUUUCUAUUACAAGGUGGAGUACUGCACUUAUGUGAAGGUCCAGAGGGUGGAACGGGCCCUUUGGGAGGAGUAUGAAAAUGUAGGUUGUUAAUGGUUCUAUCACCAGGUGGUGUACUGCACUUAUGUGAAGGUCCGGAAGGUGGAACAGGUCCUUUGGGAAGAGUAUGGAAAUGUAUGUUUUGAAUGGUUCUAUCACAAGGUGGAGUACUGCACUUAUGUGAAGGUCCAGAAGGUGGAACAGGGCCUUUGGGAAGAGUAUGAAAAUGUAUGUCUCCAAUGGUUCUAACAGCUAAUUUAUGAGUAAGAGCUUUAAUCACAUUAUUAAACUGAGUUGUUGGAUUCAAGUCAUGUUGAGCUUUAGGGGGAAAGGUUUCUUCCAUGUUGAAAUCUUGGAUGUUAUUCAAGGCAAAUGUAACAUUUGCUAUGACUAUAUUUGAGAAAACAAGAAACAAAACAAAUGAACUUAAGCUAAUGGCCAUUUUGGAUUCCUUGAUAAGAAAAUGAGAA